rnacentral:tRNA from 1 species
GGGCCUAUAGCUCAGACGGUUAGAGCGCACGCCUGAUAAGCGUGAGGUCAGUGGUUCAACUCCACUUAGGCCCA